UUAAAUUGAAGAGUUUGAUCAUGGCUCAGAUUGAACGCUGGCGGCAGGCCUAACACAUGCAAGUCGAACGGUAACAGGAAGAAGCUUGCUUCUUUGCUGACGAGUGGCGGACGGGUGAGUAAUGUCUGGGAAACUGCCUGAUGGAGGGGGAUAACUACUGGAAACGGUAGCUAAUACCGCAUAACGUCGCAAGACCAAAGAGGGGGACCUUCGGGCCUCUUGCCAUCGGAUGUGCCCAGAUGGGAUUAGCUUGUUGGUGGGGUAACGGCUCACCAAGGCGACGAUCCCUAGCUGGUCUGAGAGGAUGACCAGCCACACUGGAACUGAGACACGGUCCAGACUCCUACGGGAGGCAGCAGUGGGGAAUAUUGCACAAUGGGCGCAAGCCUGAUGCAGCCAUGCCGCGUGUAUGAAGAAGGCCUUCGGGUUGUAAAGUACUUUCAGCGGGGAGGAAGGGAGUAAAGUUAAUACCUUUGCUCAUUGACGUUACCCGCAGAAGAAGCACCGGCUAACUCCGUGCCAGCAGCCGCGGUAAUACGGAGGGUGCAAGCGUUAAUCGGAAUUACUGGGCGUAAAGCGCACGCAGGCGGUUUGUUAAGUCAGAUGUGAAAUCCCCGGGCUCAACCUGGGAACUGCAUCUGAUACUGGCAAGCUUGAGUCUCGUAGAGGGGGGUAGAAUUCCAGGUGUAGCGGUGAAAUGCGUAGAGAUCUGGAGGAAUACCGGUGGCGAAGGCGGCCCCCUGGACGAAGACUGACGCUCAGGUGCGAAAGCGUGGGGAGCAAACAGGAUUAGAUACCCUGGUAGUCCACGCCGUAAACGAUGUCGACUUGGAGGUUGUGCCCUUGAGGCGUGGCUUCCGGAGCUAACGCGUUAAGUCGACCGCCUGGGGAGUACGGCCGCAAGGUUAAAACUCAAAUGAAUUGACGGGGGCCCGCACAAGCGGUGGAGCAUGUGGUUUAAUUCGAUGCAACGCGAAGAACCUUACCUGGUCUUGACAUCCACGGAAGUUUUCAGAGAUGAGAAUGUGCCUUCGGGAACCGUGAGACAGGUGCUGCAUGGCUGUCGUCAGCUCGUGUUGUGAAAUGUUGGGUUAAGUCCCGCAACGAGCGCAACCCUUAUCCUUUGUUGCCAGCGGUCCGGCCGGGAACUCAAAGGAGACUGCCAGUGAUAAACUGGAGGAAGGUGGGGAUGACGUCAAGUCAUCAUGGCCCUUACGACCAGGGCUACACACGUGCUACAAUGGCGCAUACAAAGAGAAGCGACCUCGCGAGAGCAAGCGGACCUCAUAAAGUGCGUCGUAGUCCGGAUUGGAGUCUGCAACUCGACUCCAUGAAGUCGGAAUCGCUAGUAAUCGUGGAUCAGAAUGCCACGGUGAAUACGUUCCCGGGCCUUGUACACACCGCCCGUCACACCAUGGGAGUGGGUUGCAAAAGAAGUAGGUAGCUUAACCUUCGGGAGGGCGCUUACCACUUUGUGAUUCAUGACUGGGGUGAAGUCGUAACAAGGUAACCGUAGGGGAACCUGCGGUUGGAUCACCUCCUUACCCUAAAGAAGC
rnacentral:rRNA from 1 species